GUUUUUUUAUUCUCUCGCCAUUUCUCCAUUAAUUAUGCUAUUGUGUUCUUCUCAGGAGCCCUCCUAUUCCGCAGAGUUUCUUUCAAAGAAAAAAGAAUAGUAUAUGGGGAGCGAGUGCAAUCCAACAAGCAAACAUCGUUAUGACAUUACCAUGUCAAAGAGAACAAGAAAGCCAUUUAAUCUUCCAGAAGCCAAAGUAAAUGAUCACACAAGAAGUUCCCAAGAAAAGGAUCAAGCUGGAGACAGCAGCCAUCGUAGGAGUUUGAAGCAACUCAUGAUCAAUGGUAAUAUCAAUAUUGAAGGAACCAAUAAUAAAGGGAACCCAAGUGAUGAAAGUAAGAGCAAACUCAGAAGCUCACUUGGACAGCACUUCUCAGAUGAAGAGAAGCAGCAGCUUCAACUGGUAACGAAACAGAAGCAAGAAAUCAUGCAGGGAGCAAAGCUCAAAGGAAUGAUGGGUCGCUAUGUUAAAGUGUUGAGCCAUUUGAUCAAGGCCAAACGCGAGUCUUCUUCUUCUACCCGUAAUAAUAUUGGAUCUCGAAAAAAGCCAGUCCUCCGGUUGGCGAUGUAGGGUGUGUAUAUACUCAUUCGGUGGGUGAUCCUUUUUUAUUGCUUUUGCAUGGUUAUUGGCAUAUUAUAUUUUAUAUAUAUAUAAAUAUACAUACUUGAUUCCUGAAUCUAUAAGCUCAUCUAGCUUACAAUUAUGAGCCAGGGCUCUCAUGUUUUCCCUUUACUUACAAAUAUUCAUCAAUAUUUGUACAAGAUUUUAUGGCAUUUAUGAGGGCUCGAAGUUGAGACGAUUUUGG
rnacentral:misc_RNA from 1 species